UUUCAAGUAAAGUAUAAGGGAGUUGUACUCCAGGCUAGUAGGUGGCGGUAAUGCAACAAAUUGGAUGCCAACCGCCGUUAAACCGCAGAAGAAGAAGCACAUUGUUGGGAACGUCAUUAGACGGAAAAGGAAGAACGUCAUUAUACGGAAGAGGAAGGAAAGUGUGUUUGAAACUAAAAUCGCUAGUAACAACCAGCAUCAAACGUAACAUUGCUUGUCAAAUGGAUAUCAUUUCUCGUUAUGUUUCCCUGGCAUACAAAAGUACUUGUUUCAUUUCGAAUGCUGAGCCGGACAGGAAAAUGGUCCAAUUCACACACUGAUCAAGACAACAUCCCUGGUCGUCCCUACUGCCUCUGAUCUGGAGGACUCACUAAACAGAGAACAUCCCUGGUCAUCCCUACUGCCUCUGAUCCGGAGGACUCACUAAACAGAGAACAUCCCUGGUCAUCCCUACUGCCUCUGAUCUGGAGGACUCACUAAACAGAGAACAUCCCUGGUCGUCCCUACUGCCUCUGAUCUGGAGGACUCACUAAACAGAGAACAUCCCUGGUCGUCCCUACUGCCUCUGAUCUGGAGGACUCACUAAACAGAGAACAUCCCUGGUCGUCCCUACUGCCUCUGAUCUGGUGGACUCACUAAACAGAGAACAUCCCUGGUCGUCCCUACUGCCUCUGAUCUGGAGGACUCACUAAACAGAGAACAUCCCUGGUCAUCCCUACUGCCUCUGAUCUGGAGGACUCACUAAACAGAGAACAUCCCUGGUCAUCCCUAC
rnacentral:lncRNA from 1 species